AUGUCGGGAGUUCUCAUCCCCAUUGGGCCAGUGCAGGAAGGGACGGGAUGAAGAGGUGUGGGUUCUGUCCUCGAAGGGGCGCUGAGCAGUGAACCACGAUGCGUGGCCCUGUAUCCUCAUGGGGCUGGUAUUCCUGUGCCGCCGUUCGUGACCCACACCUGCUACCGGUCCUGCUACACAGGAGCACUCGCUCAGAGGUGUGAUCACCGGACAGUGUGCUGAACAGCUGUACGAACCAGAUGGAAUUGCUCACGUCAACCCCGACAAGAAUCUCCCCUGCCUCAGCCCUUCUGCACACACCAUAGUUUACUGUCAUGCUGUUUACCUGACGGACAUCAGCAUUCUUCGGAGAAUCUAUCUAGGCUGGUGGUGGCGAACCUAUGACAUGCAUGUUUCUAAGGCAAAAGAUGUUAAUAUAUGAGUUGUUCUCUCUACACUUAAACCUGCGUUCAGGUUUAAUUGCAGUGUGGCACUGUGCGAUAGACAAGUGGGUUUUGGGUUG
ensembl:lncRNA